UUUUAAACAUCACCAAACAUUAAAAAAAGAUUCAAUACUUCUCUCUUUUCUACAACACCUUACGCCGCCGUGGAUCUUUUACAUCAGUUUUCUUAGCGGUUAAUUCUCAGAUGCUUCGUCGGAUUCCAUAUGGGAGAAGAAGCUACCUUCGGAUUUCGUCAGAUUCGGUUCAGAGUAGGUGCAACAGAGGUAAUCCACUCGCAGAUCCAGAUACACAAAACAUUAGUCCGUUGUGUAUGAUAAAAAUUCAGGAAAGUUCAAGUCCUACACAAACCAGGGAAGGUUCACUUACGAGUUCGCGAGGGAAACUUUCUCAAUGGAAUGAUGAACUCAUCAAUUCAUUCGUCGGCCUGGCUGAUGGAGUAGUUCCUGGAUUUUAGCUUCCUCUCCCACAUUAUCUCUACCACCCAUUGAAGCUGAGCUUGAGACAUAUGAGGUGACUUCAAGUCCUUGAGAUUCAAGUUGCUCACUCAUCCUUGAAUUCCAGUGCUGCUCAUUUUUCAGAAUAUUUCAUAGUCAAUGAUCAAUAACAGAGAUAAAAUAUCGAUUGUAGUUGACUACAAACAGAAGCAGUUUUCGGACUAUUUCGAUAAUUGUAUGUGAAUUUAAUAUUAUUUUAUGUUCAAUAGAAUUUAGAAAUUUAGAAAUCUAUCGAAUUAUUUUG